CGCAGACGUCGAGACGGCAGUAUGAUCUGGCGAAAUAUUUAUAGUCGUCCCCUUCUAACCUCCAGAUCUGGCCACUCCCACAUGCCCCAGUCUCCUAAACCCUACACAUCUCUCUCGGCCACGGUAAUUGCCAUCGCCAUGGCCGGGAGGCGCCCGGCACCGGUGGCCAUCCUCCUUCUCCUCGCCGCGGCAUUCGCCCCCAUCUCCUCCGCCGUUCGCCCAGUCUCCGACGCGCACAGAUCCGCUGCCGUGGAGCUUUUCGCCCCCUCCGCUGACGGAUCCUUCGGCGAUUUGGAGAGUACGUAUGAGGCGGUGAGGACUUUCCAGAUACUCGGGCUGGAGAACUAUAAGAGUCUGUCUGGGAAGGCGUGCAAGUUUGCCGCGGAGAACCUGGCUUCCCCCGGUUCCACCACGAAAGAUCUGUUCCAUGCUGUCCGGAUCAGUGGCGCGCUUGGAUGCGCUGUUGAUGCCGGCGUGUACGAUGGUGUUGUGGCGAGGCUCAAGGCAGUGAUUCAGGAUACUAAUUCCCUGUUGGAAUUAUACUAUCCUGUGGGAGGUUUGCUUGGCAUCAAGGAACAAGGCCAUAAUGUUGUUCUGUCUGAUGCAGAAGGUACAUUCCAUGCCACUAAGGCACUUAGCCAAAGUGACGGGAGAUGGCGUUAUGACACUGACAGUGCUGAGUCUAGCACAUUUGCUGCUGGUAUUGCACUAGAAGCAUUAGCAGGUAUUGUUUCACUGGCAGAUGCAGCGGUUGACCCAUCCAUGAUGGGAGUGGUUAAAAAUGACGUCGUGAAGCUGUUUGACACCAUCAAGAGCUACAAUGAUGGGACCUUCUACUUUGAUGAAAAGCAUGUUGAUGCUACUGAAUACAAGGGCCCUAUAAUCACAUCUGCUUCAGUGGUGCGGGGUGUCACCUCUUUUGCAGCUGUUGUUUCUGGAAAAUUGAAUAUCCCUGCCGAGAAAAUACUUGGCCUGGCAAAAUUCUUCCUUGGUAUUGGGCUCCCAGGUAGCGCAAAGGAUUGCUUUAAUCAGAUUGAGUCUUUGUCAUUCUUGGAGAACAAUAGGGUCUUCGUUCCGUUGAUACUAUCACUUUCUUCCAAAGUAUUUUCAUUGACUUCGAAAGAUCAGCUCAAGGUUGAAGUUACAUCAGUUUUUGGAUCUGCUGCACCUUCACUCAAAGUGAAUCUUGUGCAAGUGUUGGGAUCUGACUCUAAAGUCAUCACCAGUGAGAACAAGGAACUUCAAUACGACCUUGACAACAAUGUCCAUUACUUGGACAUUGCUCCAUUGAAAAUUGAUGUUGGGAAAUACUCGAUAGUUUUUGAGAUUUCACUUCAGGAACCAGAGCAGGAGACUGUUUAUGCUACUGGAGGGAGAAACACUGAAAGUGUAAUUGUCACAGGACUGAUCAAAGUUGACAAGGCAGAAAUAGGAAUCUCUGACAAUGAUGCUGGGGCCGUGGAGUCUGUCCAAAAGUUAGAUCUUCUGAAAGAUACAAAAGUGUCUCUUUCUGCAAACCAUCUGCAGAAACUGUGUUUAUCUUUUCAACUAACCACACCGCUUGGGCACACAUUUAAACCUCACCAGGUGUUCUUGAAAUUGAGGCAUGAGAGUAAGGUUGAACACUUAUUCGUGGUACCUGGCUCUGCAAGGCAGUUCAAAAUUGUUCUUGUGAGUAUCUCUACACUGGAAUUGGCUUCGUUAGUUCUUUGGAUGCUCAUAAUUCAUUGUGGCAAUGUAGCCAAUACUCUAGACCAGGCACUGAACUAUCUUGAGAAGUUGCACCUAUAUACCAACAAAGUUUUUGAACCUGGAAGGACUUCCUAGGUUUGGUGGAGAAAUUUUACUACCUUUCUGGAAGAUAUGACCUUGAGCUUACCGUUGGUGAUGCUGUAAUGGAAAAUUCAUUUCUACGACCUCUUGGCCAUUUGGAGUUGGACCUGCCAGAUGCCCCAGAAAAAGCCCCACGUCCUCCUGCACAAGCUGUUGACCCAUUCUCAAAAUUUGGGCCAAAGGCAGAGAUAUCACAUAUAUUCCGCGCACCAGAGAAGAGGCCACCCAAGGAGCUCUCGCUAGCGUUCACGGGUCUCACGCUUCUGCCGUUUAUUGGAUUCUUGAUAGGGCUCGUUCGUCUUGGAGUGAACUUGAAGAACUUCCCGUCCUUGCCAGGACCGGCCGCAUUUGCCUCACUUUUCCAUGCUGGGAUAGGAGCAGUCCUGAUGCUCUACGUUCUCUUCUGGAUCAAGUUGGACCUUUUCACAACUCUCAAGUACCUCGGCUUCCUCGGCAUCUUCCUUGUGUUUGUGGGCCAUAGGGCUCUAUCCUACCUUUCCUCGGUGUCGACAAAACAGAAGACGGCAUGAGUGGACAGAGUUUUUUCCGACCAUCCAUUUCUUGAGGGGGGGCCAUUGCAGGCCCUUGGGUGUCUUAUGAGGGAGGGCUCGGUUUAUUUCAGUUGGCUUUGCAGAAUACUGAUAACUAGAAAAAGUAGUAGGACCUCACCUUCGUGUAUUAUGAUGAUGCACAUACAAUUUUCUGAGUAGAAUGGAUGUUGAAUCAUAGAACUAAUGAAUAAUAUGAACACUCGCCUUCGCCCCAA